AAAAAAGAGACUCAAUCAUGCAUGAGCUUUGCUUGGAGCUACUUGAAAGACCUUGCACCUAAGCUACUCUAGCUCUCUAUAAAUUCUAACUCUUCUUCACCGAAUGCAACGCGCAUCAAACAGAUAUAUAGCUUUGAAAACAACAAAAUGAAGAUUUCAUUAGCAACAACACUCUCUUUCCUUAUCCUUGCCUUGGCCUCAAACUCUUUGUUGGUCUUGGGCACCUCAUCAGUUCCUGAACCUCUCCUUGAUGUCCACGGAAACAAGGUCGAAUCCACCCUUAAGUACUACAUAGUCUCAGCCAUCUGGGGAGCUGGCGGUGGUGGAGUUAGCCUACACGGUGGCAGAAACGGAUAUUGUCCGCUGGACGUUAUCCAGUUACCUUCUGAUAUGCAAAAUGGAAUCGAAUUAACACUGUCACCGUAUAACAAUUCUACAAUUGUCCGAGAAUCCACUGAUCUCAACUUGAGAUUCUCAGUGUUGCUAUCUGGACGUGACUAUUGUAACGAACAACCGUUGUGGAAAGUUGAUAAUUAUGACGCGGCAUCAGGCAAAUGGUUUAUAACAACCGGGGGACUUGAUGGUCACCCUGGAGCUGAAACUUUGCUAAAUUGGUUUAAGCUUGAGAAAAUUGGAAAUUUUCCAGGUAUAUACAAAAUCGUUCAUUGUCCAUCCGUUUGCGAGUCUUGUGUCAAACUCUGCAACAACGUUGGCCGUUCGUUUGAGGAUGGCGUUCGACGUCUGGUUCUGGUUCGUGAUGAUGAGCCGGCAUUUCCUGUUGUGUUAAUUCCCGCUACAGAAAGAUCAACGUCUGUGUAAUCAAUGUACCCUAACCAGCUAGCGGUAUUAUUAUUCUAAAUAACGGACCAGGCUAGCUGCUCUUUAAUCUCUAGGAUUAAAAUUAUGAAUAAGUACCCUGUGAUCCUUUCGGGGUUAAUAAAUUCUACUGUUGGUGUAUACCUUAUGAAAAUCGAAAUCAAGUGUUCUUUGUUUUGAUUCACUGCUUCUUUUUUCUUUUCUUCUUUUUGGAAUUCUGUUUCUUGCCAUUAAUGGUGAUCAUUAAUUAGAGGUUAAAGCCACGUCUUGAUACUGAUCAUCGCAAGCUUGAAUAAGAGUGGAAAAUGCAAAAAGUCAGGUGAUUGAUUAUUUUGCCGACUAAUGUUUUAAUGGAUAAGCACCGACAAACUCUGUGGCAAAGAUUAAAUCACGAGUUUCUUAUUGUUACAUAUGCGUGUGUGUACAGUGGCGAAGCUCGCAUAUUUUUUUGGGUGGACUAUACUUUUUAAAAAAAUGAAAUUUAUUUCUUAAAAAAUUUGUUUUAUACAAACGAAAUUAAGCACACUACAUAACCAAAAAUCUAACCAUAAAACUACAAAAAAUAUAAUGUAAAUAAGAAAAAAAUUAUCAAAUAUUAAAUUUGUUUGUUUUUAUUUUUUAUAAAUAUUAAAAAAAUAAAUUUAUAAAUUAUAAUUUUUUUAAAAAAAAGCUAACCCGGGCCGCACCUUUAGCUUCGCCCCUGUGUGUGUAUGUAUGUAUGUAUGCAUUUUAUGUUAAUAAAUUUAUCUUGUUUCUUGAGGUUUACUUUAAAAAAAAACUGCGCACAAAAGUAUUAAUAAUUUGAAAGGGCGCGAUUCCUCAAAUUAUGAGGGAAAACAAAUUAUUAAUUAGCACAAAAAUAAAAAAUUGUGUGUGUGUGUGUGUGUGUGUACGCAUAUGUACAAGCGUUUACACGGCUAAGCUUUCAACUUCAAUUUAUUUUGAAUUUUUUGCUUUAUAGUUUCUUCAAUCUUCAAUUUAAUCUCAGUUAUUGAUUAAGAAAAAUUGAUCAUCAAUGAAUAUAAAAAUUAUUUCACUCAGCUUUUACCAAUCAACCAUUGUUUUUAAAAUUAUUAAGAAGAUAAAAAAAAAUUCAUCAAUCCACCUUUUUUUUUUCCUUAUUUUUGGAAUAAAAUGGAAUAAGUUGAGGAUUACAAUUGUUUGAGACAUAUUUUAAAGAUCAUCAUUGUAUGAAGAGGGUAAUCCACAAUUUACCCCUCAAACAAUUGCUGAAAUUUAGCAUUUGAUCUCAUAAAUGAAUAAAAGUAAAAUUUACCUUACUCAUGUCAUUGCUUAAGAGAUUUAAAAUAACUUCAAUUUUUUUUUUUUUUUUGACUUAGUGCUCUCACCUUCAUAUUUAUGUGCAUAUUUAAGAUUUCCUUGGAUGAAAAGCAAUGCUUCUUGUGGCUAUAAUAUUUUGGGAUGGAAGAGCGUAAAAUAAGGAUAGAUAACUUUCUCUUUAAUUCCUAGGGUCUAUGCUAGUUUUAGUCUUUGUAUUUUCAAAAAAUCAUCCAAAACUUCUUGGUUGUUAGUCUCUCAUAGUUGGAUUUACUUUAAUUAGAUAAAAUGGUAGUUUUGUUAUAAUAAAACUUAAAAUUCAAAUAAAUUUUACGUGAUACAUUUUGAAACAUAUAGAAAUAAUAAGCGUAAUUUAACAACCUAAGGGUACUUGACAUUCUAUUUGGGUAACCACUCGAAUUCGAGUCUUGGGGAGGUAAGAACUAGUGCAUAUCAUGUAGUAAUCUUUAUUUUUACCAUAUGUUAUAUUAUAAUAGCCAAAAUUGAAUAGGAUAGUUUUACAAUGUGAAGGGGGAGAGUGAGAGAAAGAAAUGUUAGGACAAUAAUAUCUUGGUGAAAACUAUCACUUACAAUUUAGGAACAUUCAUGUUGUAUUGCCAAGAAUCAAUAAUAAAAAUAUGCGAAAGCAUAUCUGAAUCAAUAAUGCAUGAUUAUUCUGUAAAGUCAUAGUUAGCCUUCCAAAUCAAAACUUUCUUCUAGAGAAUCCUUUAAUUUUCUUUGUACACUCUUUUUGAUGAUAGGAUGUUGUUGUGCAAAUUUUAUUGAACUCGCAAGCGCACAAAUCUAUUGUAGAAUAGACUAAUGGUGACGAGUGUCGAUCUUACGAGGAGAUGGAUUUUAAUUGUGUAUAAAAUUAAUUUUGUAAAUGGGUGGUUGGAUCUCUGGUGAAAUUGAUUUAGAAUAUUCUAAAACAAAAAAAUAUUUUCAUACUUUUAAAUUUUUAUUAUGAUUUAGUAAAAUAUUUUCGUAUUAGAAAAAAAUUCUAAUUUCUUAUAGAGGUCAUGACUCUUAUUACAUGAUAAGGUAGUGUCAUCUCACUCGCACAUAAAUGCCGCUCUAAUAUUACAUUGAAGCUCAUGAAUUUAAUUUAUAAUAAAACACCAACUCAAUAAUUACGAGUCAUUUUAAGCUAAUAAUAUUAGCUUACAAAUAUUCUUAGCCAAUGUGUGAUUUUUUCCUUUGCGUAGGACGCGCCAAACCUGGCAAGUGGCAGGUCAUUAUUGAACGGAGAAGGAGAAAGGGACUCUUGAACUUAGAAAAUGGCAAGUCCUCUAUUGUUAGGCCCACCACCUGUUCAUGCCCCCACAAAAUUCUUUUACCUACUGACGACUAUUAGUGCGGAAACAAAUCAUUUUUAUGUAAGUGGCUAGUUAUUUUUCAUUACCAGCUUUAAUUAAUGUCAAAAACGUCAAAACGUCAGAUGAUAUAUUGCCGAUUGGAUAAGUAACCACCAACUCUGUGGCGAAGAUUAAGUCACGAGUUACUUAUUUUUAUUAUCUCUGUUUGUCAAUUUUUUUUUUUAUUUUGUACAUAUUUCCUCGGUUAUCUUUUUUGCAUAUUCUGUGUAUUUACAAAUUGUGAUGUCUAUGGUUUUGUUAUUUCGCACGUUCAAUUGCUGAUGCAUACAUAUAUUCGAGUGUGGACCAUCAUACAAACUAAUAAUUCUCUGAAGUCGCUCUCAUCCAAAUGAAUUGGAGUAUCAGAUACAAAUAAUUGUAAUAAGAUACACAUGAUGAAUACUUUGUAUAAGAUACAAUAAUUUGAUAGUUGAAUUUACACUCUGAGUUGAGUUGUGCUCAUUUUCUCAUAAUUUUUGUGUUUUGUACAUAUUUAUAAUUUGUACCUUUAAGUUUUAAUUACUUUUAUGGUACAUUUAUUAAUUGUUAAUCAGAGUAGAUUUGAAUAAAAAUGAAUUAGAAUAGGAAUGAUAAUUAAGAAUAAAAAUAAAUUAUUUACUUCAGUUAUAGGAAUCAGAAAUGAAAUAAGUAUAUUCUCAUUUAUGUGUUUAACUUAUUAAAAUACCCUUAGUUUAUCAUUGUCAUUAUUUUUAUUAUUUAUUAUAAUAAUUUUCAUUAUUAUUAUUAAAAAUUAUUGCUAAUAAUAAUAACCAUAAUAAUUAUAAUAAUCAUAACAAUAAUAUAUAUUUUUAUCCAAUAAUUAUCAAUUAAAUCUUUUUUAAAAAAUGGGCAAAAUAUUCCGAACUAUAAUCAAAUCUCUUAAAUCUGGCAUUAUUGCCUUUUCGUAAGAAGCCACGGUUCUUUCAAUAUCGACGUACGAAUUUUCAUCUUGUCAAUAUAUUACAGCAUGAUUAUUGUCGUGAAUUAUUAUUUAUUGUACCAUGGCUUUUGCCUUAUAAGUAAGAAUCGUCAUCUUAUGCGACUUUUGAAUAAAUUGUUGUGUGAAUAAAACAAAACAAAAAAGAUAAAUAACUGUUAGCCAUUUCUGGAUUAUAAUUAUCUUCGCAUGUCAAUGUACUACCUAGUUCAAUAUGCGAGGUGAAUUUCAUCCCAUUGUAAUUGCAUAUUCUAGAGGCAGUUGGGUUUAAAAUAUUACGGUUCCACGUCCAUGUAAUUCAAAACUUUGCAGUGGGCCACUUUAUGAAAGAUUAAAAAAGAAAAAGAAAUAAAAGAAAGGAUUUUUCCAAUUUACUUCUUAUAAGAGAUUUGGACGUGUACAAAAAUUUGUUUCUUAUUAAUCGAUCAGAUAUGAUUCUUACCAUAUUUGCAUCGCAAGUAAUUCAAUAUUGCAAUUAACGGAUAAUGAGUAGGAUUUCUUAUUGGAUACUUACCAUCCCCGCCCAGGAUGACAGAAAUUUCAAAACCUUGAUCAAGAUUUGUGAUCCCAUGGCGAUAGUAUUUGGCCCAUAAUUUUGAGUAUUGAAUGUAGGGAAGUUGGAAUUCAAUAUCGAAAUUUAUCUAUUUGAUAAUCAGGAUGACAAAUCCAAGGAUAUUUAAUCAAAUGUUUUUCAAGCAAUUUUAUUUGAUUGAUCACUUGAGUUCAAGUUUUAAAGAAGCAAGAAUUAAAUUAAAAAAUUGAUUGGUACUUUGUCCACCUUUUGCUUUUUUAUUAAAUAAUUUUUUAUGAAAUUUCAGACACUGGAAAAAUCCUAAUCAUGAUCGCAUUUCAACAGAUAACUUUUCCAAUUUUUAGUUAUACGUUAGUUUCUAUUCAAUUUGAUAUUUGUCAAUUAGAUAUUUGGGAAAACAAUUGCACUGGAGAAUGAAUCAUUUUAUUUUGUAUAUAUUUGGGUGUUAAAUGUUUACAUUGGUUAUAAUUUUCGAAAAAUAAAUGUGACUAGAUUAACAAGUGUUUCACAAAAUAUUUCGGAACACAUUUUCUUAAGAAAAAAAAUUUAAGUUCUCAAAAUUAUUAUUCGCUUUAGUUGUUUGCCUUAUGAAACAAUUUUUUUUCCCCUAAAGGCAGACACGAUUAAUUACUUGAUUUUUUUCAAUAUAUUACAUUAGAUAGUAUAAUAAAAAUACUAAUAAAUAGAUACACUACAAAUUGUUUAAUGAAUUCGAACCAACUAUUUUUAUAAUAAAAAUACGAAAAUGGUUUGAAAGAAGUCAAACCAAACAAAACCUAGUUUUAGAACCAAACUAAACCGAAAUAUUUCAUUUCGGUUUGGUUUGGUUCAUAAAUUCGAUAGGUUGCUAUGUUUUAUGGCUCGUCUUCAGAUAGAAGGUUGAAUCACACAGGAAUGCAAGUUCGACACCAAAAAUUAAUUUGAAUAAAUAAACGAAAUAAAAAUAUCGUUAUCAUGCAUGAGUUUGGGAUAAAUGUUAAGAAAUUGACAAUUUGAAUAAAGAAAAUAAGAAAAAAGAGACUCAAUCAAGCAUGAGCUUUGCUUGGAGCUACUUGAAAGACCUUGCACCUAAGCUACUCUAGCUCUCUAUAAAUUCUAACUCUUCUUCACCGAAUGCAACGCGCAUCAAACAGAUAUAUAGCUUUGAAAACAACAAAAUGAAGAUUUCAUUAGCAACAACACUCUCUUUCCUUAUCCUUGCCUUGGCCUCAAACUCUUUGUUGGUCUUGGGCACCUCAUCAGUUCCUGAACCUCUCCUUGAUGUCAACGGCAACAAGGUCCAAUCCACCCUUAAGUACUACAUAGUCUCAGCCAUCUGGGGAGCUGGCGGUGGUGGAGUUAGCCUACACGGUGGCAGAAACGGAUAUUGUCCGCUGGACGUUAUCCAAUUACCUUCUGAUAUGCAAAAUGGAAUCGAAUUAACACUGUCACCGUAUAACAAUUCUACAAUUGUCCGAGAAUCCACUGAUCUCAACUUGAGAUUCUCAGUGUUGCUAUCUGGACGUGACUAUUGUAACGAACAACCGUUGUGGAAAGUUGAUAAUUAUGACGCUGCAUCAGGCAAAUGGUUUAUAACAACCGGGGGACUUGAUGGUCAUCCUGGANNNNNNNNNNNNNNNNNNNNNNNNNNNNNNNNNNNNNNNNNNNNNNNNNNNNNNNNNNNNNNNNNNNNNNNNNNNNNNNNNNNNNNNNNNNNNNNNNNNN
rnacentral:lncRNA from 1 species